rnacentral:rRNA from 1 species
UACGUAGGUGGCAAGCGUUGUCCGGAUUUACUGGGCGUAAAGGAUGCGUAGGCGGCCAUUUAAGUCAGAUGUGAAAUACCCGAGCUUAACUUGGGUGCUGCAUUUGAAACUGGGUGUCUAGAGUGCAGGAGAGGUAAGUGGAAUUCCUAGUGUAGCGGUGAAAUGCGUAGAGAUUAGGAAGAACACCAGUGGCGAAGGCGACUUACUGGACACAUAUUGACGCUGAGGUGCGAAAGCGUGGGGAGCAAACAGG